CUGGACUCUGUCUUGCUGUGGAGCGUCAGUGUGUUGUGCACUCCUGUGGAGCUAACUCGUGCUGCUAAGACAGACUAACCAGCUUGUCACAAAUCUGACUAGCCUCCGGUCUCAAGCUAGGCGCAAGCCUCCACAGAUGCUAUACCUGUAUACCUAAGCACUUUGGCCACUUUGUUUCUGGGUGCUGCCCCUUGCCUCUCCGAUGUUUGGGGACUGUGUGAAUCCCAUCUGCAGCGGUUUCUUACUUUUUCCUGCCUAGGGUACCCUUGUGGCUGUCAACUCGUGUUCAUCCGGCCUGAUCUUUCAGGCAUGUGAUGGUAUCAGGGUAUUAUACACCCUGUUGUCUUCUUACUUCCACUACGGACCAGCAGAAUCCAAACUCUGAUCUCAACCACCCCUGAAGAAGCCUAACCAGGCGAAAUAUAUAGGGUUUACCAACCGGGUUGUGAUCUCUGUUACAGUACUUAUGUCUGUUAUGGAAACCUUUUAACUUUGUUACAUUUGAUCAGGUUGUUGAUUUAUGUAGUGGGCUCCUGUAGAGUCUAUGAUA